AGCAAGGAGCAGCCAGUUCAGUGUGUUCCUGUGUGUGUAUUCACUGCCUGCUUUCCUAGCCAAGGUAGAGAGACCUCUGUGAGCCUGCAUGCAUGUGUGUGUGAGUGUGUCUGUACCCGUGCCUGUCUCGCGAGCCAGCCUGCGAGUGAGAGAGCUUGUUGUGUGUGUGUGUGUGUGUGUGUGUUUGCAGGAGGGAGAGAGGGGGAGUAUUGUGCACUGUGGAUGUUGCCUCAUGCUUUAACCAGCCUGUCUGCGAGCCCAGGUACUGCCUGCCUGCCUUCGCGCCGGCUUCUAAAUAAGCAGCACAUUCACCGUCCCCUUCAGGACAGGAGGCUAGGCUGCAGAGUGUGAAAUCACACUAAUAGUCAGUACAGUAGCUAGCGCUGAGCAGGAACCCGCUCCUGUCUCACUACUCACACAGUGGGCAGAGGACACGCAGCACAAGAAGAAACAGUAGGACUUCAGAGGGAGAGGGAAGGAAAAAAAACCCAGAAAGGUCUGUGAAGAAGGUACCUGGUAAUACCGCGACAACUAUCGCUUAGGUUCAGUCUGGCUGUGUGAGGAGGGAGGCGUUUGAACAGUCUGAGCUCCUGCCUCCUAAUGGAGGCGCGGCCAUCCUGAAAGGAAGUCUGUGUUUCUGACGACCCGGGAAUCUUAAUCCAACCCAAUAGCUUUGGAAAACCCUGGAAAUACCUGGACUUUCUAGGAGUACAUCACCAAACAUCUGAAGGUGCCCAGGCACCUGGAAAAUAUAGCUUUAGAUUGUAUGUUUAUUAUUUUAGCAUAUACCAAGAAAGAGUCCAAAGUCUGAACAGUAGCAAUAGCAUUCGGCCAUCCAUCCACCAGCACAUCACCGACAACCAACAACCUGCUGUGACAGAGAGGGGCGUGACCUUUCUGGCUGCCGGCUUCAAACGGACACUUGAAAAGCAGGGCGACUCUAACCAAGAGGCUUCCGUGCGGCGGCGACUCUAACCAAAAAAAACCAUCAGGUAAGGCUGUGAAGUUCUCCCUGCUCCCGCUGGCCUGGCCCUAAGCCCUUUAACUCCUUCGGGGCUUUGAAGCUGGCCAGCCCUGCAGCCGUGUCCCAGCACACAGCCGGCCAUCCUGGGAGGCAGCAUGCAGGAAGGGCUGCUGGUAAACGGCCUGCUUUCAUGCUCUGCUCUCCUGUUUGUUCCCUUUGGAUUAGAGGCUGUGGAUGUGUGGAGGUUGUCUGGCUGAUAGAUGCUAACCCUGGGCUCUUUACUGAUGCCCCGCAGGCCCUGGCUCUGACCACAGAGAGCACAUCUCUGCACAUGUGACGGGGAAACGUGUGGCCGCUUGGCUUGGUUGACCAGGGAAGGGUGGUGGCAGCUCAUCAUACACACACACACACAUUUAUAUAUACCUACAGACUGACAAAAGCACACAUGCUGUCCUAGCCAUCUCCUAACAUUUUUGUUAAUACAGAAUAUGUAUACUUUCUAAUUUCUAUACAGAAUAUAUAUAAACUGACACGCACAUGCAUUUUCAUUUGUGGUCACACAAAUACACACACACCUUCACGUGGUAAUGGGAGGUUUUUCCUGGUGUUUUCAGUAAAGGGACUGUUGAUAGUUCCAGGAUGAGGAUUAUACAGUUCAUUAAGGGGAGAGGACUGGGUUUCCAGCAGAUAAAAUGUCAUAUCUGGUCUUUAGCUAAGUGUGUGUAUUUUUGCGCGUGCAUGUGUGGCCGUGCGAGGGUGUGGGUGUGUGCAUACAUACGCAUGCAUUUUGGCAUCCAUGUGUGUUUGAUUUUCCAUUUGAAUAAGUGUGUCUGUCUGUACGUAGGGAAUGUGGACAUGUGUGGCUCCUGGUUCAGGGGUCAGUAUUUCCAUACAGAGUGACUCUGAGAUCUGGCCUGGGUUUCAGUGUGCCACUGGCACAGCCAGAUAUUGUAGCAGCACAGAUGAAGGCUUGGAGAUGACGCUUUACUAGGAUCUGAUACCAUGACAUCGAAUUAACGUGCUGUCGUGCAACCAUGUCUAGUUGGUUGGAAACACUAAAUCCCAUAUUUAGUUGGAUCAUGAUGCCCGAUCUAGGAAAAAUAUUAAGCAUUUUUGUGUUUGCUUUUGCAUUUGUAUUUAUUCACUGGAAUCAGAGUUACUGAGGUUUAGGUUUUAUUCUGGUAAUACUGUGGCACUUAAUGUCAUGUCCUGGCAUGGCAGACCAGUGAGAUCCACUCCCUCCCUCAUUUGGAUCAAGGACACCUGUUAGUUGUUAUUGCCUCCCCAGUGUUCCUGAUCACUGGCCCUAUUUCAGCUCCUCCUUCCCCAGUGUAUCUUGUCAGCCAUUGUUUUGGAUUUCAUUCCUUGUUUCAA
ensembl:lncRNA